GACGUAGGGCGCGAGCGUUGUCCGGAUUUAUUGGGCGUAAAGAGCUCGUAGGCGGCCUGUUGCGUCCGCUGUGAAAGCCCGGGGCUUAACCCCGGGUCGGCAGUGGAUACGGGCAGGCUAGAGGUAGGUAGGGGAGAAUGGAAUUCCCGGUGUAGCGGUGAAAUGCGCAGAUAUCGGGAGGAACACCGGUGGCGAAGGCGGCUCUCUGGGCCUUACCUGACGCUGAGGAGCGAAAGCGUGGGGAGCGAACAGG
rnacentral:rRNA from 1 species